GAGGGUAUAGCUCAGUGGUAGAGCACGUGCAUGCGUGAGGUCCUGGGUUCAAUCCCUAGUACCUCCA
rnacentral:tRNA from 1 species